rnacentral:tRNA from 1 species
AGCUCAGUUGGUUAGAGCACACGCUUGAUAAGCGUGGGGUCACAAGUUCAAGUCUUGUC